GCCAGUGUGGCAUAGUGGUUUGAGUGCUGGACUAUGACUCUAGAGACCAGGAUUCGAUUCCUAGCUUGGCCA
rnacentral:tRNA from 1 species